rnacentral:lncRNA from 1 species
CAGAGUGAGGACUAAGAACUGGUCAGUCCUGCUGUGCAGCCCUGGUACAGUUGUGUUGGGUUAGUGCUGCACUCGGUGCUCCUGGGCCCACUAUGCCCUGAAGACAAAUGCCAGAUGAGAAUGUACAGACUGAUGACCUGCACUGAAAGGCAAGGGUAACGCCCACCCCCGGGGUGGGACUGUAUCCUGGAUUCCCGUUCCAGUAGCAGUAAGUAGGAGAGAUCACAAACCCAGUCUUUGGAGGAUUCCAACACAAACUAGAAGAGAGCCCUCUGUGGGCUGAUAUUACAAAGCGGUUUCUUGUCUUUCUUUCCUUUUUUUGUUUUGUUUUGUUUUGUUUCGUUUCGUUUCGUUUCGUUUUGUUUCGUUUUAAGAUUCCUUACUGGCUUGCUACCAGCAAUUGAACUGUAUUAUUCUUUAUAGAGCUAGAGCUGUUUGUUGUCUUCUUAAAAAUAAACCUUUUUCUGUU